rnacentral:rRNA from 1 species
UAGGGAAUCUUCCGCAAUGGGCGAAAGCCUGACGGAGCAACGCCGCGUGAGUGAUGAAGGUCUUCGGAUCGUAAAACUCUGUUAUUAGGGAAGAACAAAGGUGUAAGUAACUAUGCACGUCUUGACGGUACCUAAUCAGAAAGCCACGGCUAACUACGUGCCAGCAGCCGCGGUAAUACGUAGGUGGCAAGCGUUAUCCGGAAUUAUUGGGCGUAAAGCGCGCGUAGGCGGUUUUUUAAGUCUGAUGUGAAAGCCCACGGCUCAACCGUGGAGGGUCAUUGGGAACUGGAAGACUUGAGUGCAGAAGAGGAAAGUGGAAUUCCAUGUGUAGAGGUGAAAUGCGCAGAGAUAUGGAGGAACACCAGUGGCGAAGGCGACUUUCUGGUCUGUAUCUGACGCUGAUGUGCGAAAGCGUGGGGAUCAAACAGG